rnacentral:lncRNA from 1 species
AUGGCUUCCUGGUUUGAAAGGACGACAGGAUUUCUGGGCACUGAAGCCCUAGCCUCGAGCACAGUGCUGAAGCCCGUCAUAGAGGACUUCUUCGACACCGCGCUGAUUAUUUCCAGAAGUAGUCCUAAAGGAAAAAUUCAGAUGCUGGAUUCCUUCAUCCUUAUCUUAGGCUUCCUGGUGACAGAAAAGACUGUAAAUCACUUGAUUCAACAGGAGGUUGCUCUUUCUGAGGCAUUGUGUAGAAUGACGAGUAGAACAUCAAGGAACGACCUUGUCCACCAGUGGUUUGAUGAUGAUGUCCUUGCUGAAGGCUUCAAGAAAAUUAAGGAUCGAGAAUUUGAGACGGACGGUCGAAGAUUUCUCAAUCACCUAAAUGACAGACUUGGUGACCAGAGAAGGGUCUAUUCAUUUGCAUGUGUUGCUGCUUUUGCUGAUGGGCAUGAGGUAUGUUUGUAUUGGGGGUUGCGAGGGUGGUGUGCGGUGAAACUCACACAGGUGUACAUGGCUGGGUGAGACUUCUGUUCUUGUUACAUGAAAGGUUCUUCAAAAAGAGGCUGCUGGGCUGGGGAUGUAGCUCAGUGGUUCCAGCGCCUGCCUUGCAAGUGCCAGGUCCCGAAUUCGAUCCCCGGUACCAAAAAAAAAAAAAAAAAAGAAGCUGCUAGCUUCUAGUGAUUUCAACUCUCAAAUUAAUUGUACCAUAACCAGGAUGCACUGCCAGUUUAAAGACUCAAAUUUACUUCUGGAAAAAGAAAUUUGAGGCUCUGUGCAGGACACAUGGUCAACUACAGAAAUCUUGCCUUGUUUUAUCUUAGUCAUGGGUAACGUUAUUUAUCCUUUGAGGGAGAAGGGUGACUUCAUGCUUUUGAUGAUUCCCUCUCUUUUCCUGCACUUGGGGACAUUUCCCUUUCUCUCCACUUUGGAUAAUGUAAUGUAAGGUGUAUCAGCACAAGCUGCCCGCACAGACAGAGUACCUUUAGCACAGUGCUUCCUAGUAGAAAAGUCUAUACUUUCUUGCAUCCUACCUUGUGCUUGUAGUCCAGCUUGACGAGUUCAUUUUCACUCCCUUCUUUGGUUUCUAGAUGAGGAACACCCUUCAUGUCAAAAGUCUGCUACCCAGAGCAUCUCAGUUUCAGGGUAAAGUUGGCAGAGGUCUCAGACAUUGGCCACGUUUUCCUGAGCCCUGUCUUCAAGACAUCCAUUGCAUGUUUAGCCGUUUCUUGGUUUGGGGUUCAGAGUCCCCGUGUUAACCUCUGUAAGCUAAACUUUCAACAUGGGGCUACACUAAAAGACCUUUCUCUCUAGAACCGGUUUUGGCAAACUAAUCCUUCUGUCUCAACUCCAUCUGAUUUUUCCUUGGUUUUCUGCUGGGUUCUUCCUUCUAGGAUGCCCCAAUUCUCUUCAGCUUCCAUCAGGGCCCUUACAUUUAUCCCUCACACCAGCUUCUAGUGGCACACAUUGUGGUUAAGAUCAUUCAACUCUGUAGCUAUUAAAAAGCAGGUAUGAAUGAUGAAAAGGAAAGAUGUCCAAGCAAGGUUGUUUACAGAAGAGUUGUAGAGUAGUAAACCUGGUGCUUGCUCCAUUGAUGGGGAAUACAAAUUUUAUAGGUUAAGCAUCCCAUGUCCAAAAAAUCUGAAACACCUUCAAAUUAUAUAUAAAGGUGUCUAGGAAACAUUAAUUUUAUGUUUAGACUUAAGUCCCAUCCCCAAGGUACCUCAUGAUAUAUAUACAAAUGUUCCAAAACCUGAAAAAUUCAAAACCUGAUGCACUUCUGGUACCAAUCACUUUCAAUAAGGAAUACUCAACUAUACCUCUGAUAUUUGUCCAGAAAACCUCAGAGAGUGGGGGGACAAAGACAUUGUUCAUGGUGUCUUUGGAAAAAUACAUUAUUUGUAAUGUAGGCAAGGCAGAGAUGUUUACAUUUCUAUAAACAUCAUACCGUUUGACUCUUCUUUUACUAUAAACACAUUUUAUAAUCAAUUAAAAUAAAAGUAAUUUUAACUCUGGAAGUCUUAGCUCUCCUGCAAUGGAUGGUAACUUAGAUGACAAGUCACUGUUCGUAUUUGAUCCCAAUACCUCCUUUUCUAGACAUUUCCAUCCAUAUGCAGUCUGGAGUUUUCAAUAGAGAACAAUUUGCUUUUUGAUUCUUACCAGAAAACAAAUGUAUGUAUAGUCAUCUGACCCACUUAAGUUAUCUAUAAAAUAUGCCAAGGACAGCAGGGUUUUAUUGGCAAUGGCUUGGUCCUGUAAAAUGAACACCAUCCUUCUGUUUCGCACGAGUGAGUGACCUCACGGAGAAGGCCCUUUGUUAGGAUAAUGCUAUUCCAGGAAAAGCAAAAAUCUUGUUCUUUUGGAAUAAUUUUUAUCUGACCCUUUGAUGUGAUUUUUUAAUGUAUAAUUCAUACUGAAAUUCUCUUUCAGAUGAGAAAACCAGCAGAUGAAAAAUUAGAGAAGUUUUGGAUUGAUUUCAACCUAGGAAGCCAGAGUGUGACUUUUUACAUAGACAAUGCUGAGGUAAUGAAGGAGGGUUGAUUCUGACUAGAUCUAAGCACUUACAGAGCGUAUAUUUGUAAAUAUGUGUGAUGUACUCAUGGAUUUCACUUGCUACCUUCCGAAGAGUGCUCUGUGGGAACCAAUCAGAGUUGCGAAGGAAGCCGUGGUUAACUUCGGCAUUACAGGUAGGAUGAUAAUUUUACAUUGUGGUACCCAAUACUUAGUUCUGAGUAUUGUUUGUGUGUGCUGUGUGUGUUAAUUCCAGGGCAGAUUUCGUCUUGCUUUGCUACAAGGAAGUCUGGCAGGAGAGUGGAAGGAAGA